GGGCGUUAAGUUGCAGGGUAUAGACCCGAAACCCGGUGAUCUAGCCAUGGGCAGGUUGAAGGUUGGGUAACACUAACUGGAGGACCGAACCGACUAAUGUUGAAAAAUUAGCGGAUGACCUGUGGCUGGGGGUGAAAGGCCAAUCAAACCGGGAGAUAGCUGGUUCUCCCCGAAAGCUAUUUAGGUAGCGCCUCGUGAAUUCAUCUCCGGGGGUAGAGCACUGUUUCGGCUAGGGGGCCAUCCCGGCUUACCAACCCGAUGCAAACUGCGAAUACCGGAGAAUGUUAUCACGGGAGACACACGGCGGGUGCUAACGUCCGUCGUGAAGAGGGAAACAACCCAGACCGCCAGCUAAGGUCCCAAAGUCAUGGUUAAGUGGGAAACGAUGUGGGAAGGCCCAGACAGCCAGGAUGUUGGCUUAGAAGCAGCCAUCAUUUAAAGAAAGCGUAAUAGCUCACUGGUCGAGUCGGCCUGCGCGGAAGAUGUAACGGGGCUAAACCAUGCACCGAAGCUGCGGCAGCGACACUGUGUGUUGUUGGGUAGGGGAGCGUUCUGUAAGCCUGUGAAGGUGUGUCGUGAGGCAUGCUGGAGGUAUCAGAAGUGCGAAUGCUGACAUAAGUAACGAUAAAGCGGGUGAAAAGCCCGCUCGCCGGAAGACCAAGGGUUCCUGUCCAACGUUAAUCGGGGCAGGGUGAGUCGACCCCUAAGGCGAGGCCGAAAGGCGUAGUCGAUGGGAAACGGGUUAAUAUUCCCGUACUUGGUGUUACUGCGAAGGGGGGACGGAGAAGGCUAUGUUGGCCGGGCGACGGUUGUCCCGGUUUAAGCGUGUAGGUGUGUGUUCCAGGUAAAUCCGGUUCACUUUAACACUGAGGCGUGACGACGAGGCACUACGGUGCUGAAGCAACAAAUGCCCUGCUUCCAGGAAAAGCCUCUAAGCAUCAGGUAACAUCAAAUCGUACCCCAAACCGACACAGGUGGUCAGGUAGAGAAUACCAAGGCGCUUGAGAGAACUCGGGUGAAGGAACUAGGCAAAAUGGUGCCGUAACUUCGGGAGAAGGCACGCUGACACGUAGGUGAAGUGAUUUACUCAUGGAGCUGAAGUCAGUCGAAGAUACCAGCUGGCUGCAACUGUUUAUUAAAAACACAGCACUGUGCAAACACGAAAGUGGACGUAUACGGUGUGACGCCUGCCCGGUGCCGGAAGGUUAAUUGAUGGGGUCAGCGCAAGCGAAGCUCCUGAUCGAAGCCCCGGUAAACGGCGGCCGUAACUAUAACGGUCCUAAGGUAGCGAAAUUCCUUGUCGGGUAAGUUCCGACCUGCACGAAUGGCGUAAUGAUGGCCAGGCUGUCUCCACCCGAGACUCAGUGAAAUUGAACUCGCUGUGAAGAUGCAGUGUACCCGCGGCAAGACGGAAAGACCCCGUGAACCUUUACUAUAGCUUGACACUGAACAUUGAGCCUUGAUGUGUAGGAUAGGUGGGAGGCUUUGAAGUGUGGACGCCAGUCUGCAUGGAGCCGACCUUGAAAUACCACCCUUUAAUGUUUGAUGUUCUAACGUGGACCCGUUACCCGGGUUGCGGACAGUGUCUGGUGGGUAGUUUGACUGGGGCGGUCUCCUCCUAAAGAGUAACGGAGGAGCACGAAGGUUGGCUAAUCCUGGUCGGACAUCAGGAGGUUAGUGCAAUGGCAUAAGCCAGCUUGACUGCGAGCGUGACGGCGCGAGCAGGUGCGAAAGCAGGUCAUAGUGAUCCGGUGGUUCUGAAUGGAAGGGCCAUCGCUCAACGGAUAAAAGGUACUCCGGGGAUAACAGGCUGAUACCGCCCAAGAGUUCAUAUCGACGGCGGUGUUUGGCACCUCGAUGUCGGCUCAUCACAUCCUGGGGCUGAAGUAGGUCCCAAGGGUAUGGCUGUUCGCCAUUUAAAGUGGUACGCGAGCUGGGUUUAGAACGUCGUGAGACAGUUCGGUCCCUAUCUGCCGUGGGCGCUGGAGAACUGAGGGGGGCUGCUCCUAGUACGAGAGGACCGGAGUGGACGCAUCACUGGUGUUCGGGUUGUCAUGCCAAUGGCACUGCCCGGUAGCUAAAUGCGGAAGAGAUAAGUGCUGAAAGCAUCUAAGCACGAAACUUGCCCCGA
rnacentral:rRNA from 2 species